CUUUAAAAUUGUGUUGAACAUUAUAACAUCUUGGUGGCACUGUACAAUUUUGGUAUUUGUUUUUCAUUGAUGAUACCUAGUGACCCAAUUAAUUUUUGAUUAUUUACAUAUUAAAUAUUACUCAUAAGGCCAUAACCCAUUUUCAUUUUUUCCUAAAGCGUUGUUAAUUUUGUUAUAAUUGUCUAUGAAAAUAUAUGUUCGUUAUUUUGCAUUACCAUAAUGAGAAUAAUUUAUUAAGUGAGUACUUCAUAUUUAAUAUGAUUUAUUUCUAUAAUUCGUGUAUGUCUGAGCCAUGUUUUUAGUUAUUCCUUAUUUUUUACAUAGGUGGUUUUAUAGUUAGAUACUACCCAGAGUACUAGGUACUUACCCUGCAAAUUCUGUAGUUAAAAAUGAAAAUUUGACUUGCAAGUUACGUAACAACAUAACUAAAUUUAUUUCAUACAGUGGUGCACAAAGUCAUUUUUUAAAUGUUAUACACAAUGUUUAAUUUAUUAGUACGAUUAAGUUAAAAAAAUCAAUUUACUAUUGAAGUAGGUAGGUACACCAAUGAAUUCUUACAAAACUUAAGUACUUGCUUAAUAAUAAUAGGAAGUAUAAUAGAAAAUUGAAUAACAAAUUGCAAUGUAUUAAUAUAUAAAAUUAUCUUCUAUAUUAUCAACAAUUUAGAAUUAGGAAAGAAAAGAAAAAUGUACUAACGACUUUUAUAGGUGAUAAUUUAAUACAUUUUGUAAUUCUAUGUAAGCAUGUAAAAGGUGCAGGACGAUAAUGAAAAAAUGUUUGUCUUUUGAAAGGCAUAAACCUUUUUUUUUUAUUGGGGAAGUGUUACGGGGUGUCUGCUUAUUCCCUUUUAAAUAUUAUAGUAUUAUAUUAUACAGCGAAGCAAUCGAGUAUUAUAUAAGUAUAGGCCACAACUUUAUUUAUGAAGUCAAAUUAAAUGGGCGAUAGUUGUUCGUUAUCAAAGCCACAUUCUCCGGAUAGGGACAGGUCGUUUAAAUUCACCUCAGCUGCUGCUAAUCUUGGGUGCACCAAAUGAACCAGGCAACUAUCUACUAAGACUGGCGCAUAUGAACAACUGUGAAUAAAUUUUUUUUUUUUUUUAUAUAUGUGGAGUGGGGUAGAAUAAUAUUGUUAUUCCUAAUUACUCAUUAUUUGUUAAAGAAAAUAUAACACAAAGUUUAUGUUAAUAAGUUAUAUUUUUGAUUUGUUAUAUCAGUAUAAACUUUAAAAUCCUAAACCUGUAUAAUUUUGAAAACAGCACUUAAAACAUAUCUGCGUUAUGCCAUCAAUAUUGUCUGUGUAUAAAAUUAUGAUGGGGAUGGAUAUUAUAUUUUUCGUGGGAACAAAUUGUCCUAGAUCGAAUAAUAACAAUUACUUAUUACAUUAUGUAUGUUCAUGACUUUGCUUAUGUAAAGACAAAGGACUUAUUUUUUUUGAUCCAAUGGGUGAUUGGGAUAUCAUAGGUUCAAAACAUAAACAUUGUAAACCUAAAUCACUAAUGAAUAGAUAUAUUUUUAAGCAAGGAUAUAUAGAGAAACAGGGAGUUCAUUUUGGGGUUCUGAAAUGGGUAUCACACCAUGUAGGUAGCUACCUAAUGAUCCAAAAUUUCUCAAAAGAAGGACAAUUUUGUCAAGACUCAUUUAUCCGAUUAACCACCUUCUCAGCAUCAAUUCAGCUAAUACAAGUAUUAUAUAAAAAAAUUAUUUGUGUACAAUUUAAAAAAAUACACAUAAUAUUUACUUACAAUAAAUCGUGAGUUCAUUCUUUUUUAAAGAAAUAUUGUACUUGUCCUCAAACCAUUUUUUUUGUCAAAUAAAUUACAACAAUGUUUGUAACAUGGGUAGUUUUCAUUAAUUUUUUCUAAAAGUAAUGCGUGCCACUGAUUUGAUGUAUUCAAAUUCAAAUCAAACAAGUUUGAUGAGAUAAUGAUAGUGACUUUUAAAGUUCUAAUCAGUUAGAUAUAAAUCUUAAUAGAAAUAUUUGAAUAGUACCAAAUUUAGUGAUAUUACGAACAUUGAUUUUUAAAGUUGAAUUUAAAUUAAUAUUUUGUAUUUGUACCCGAACCAACAAAAUAUUCAAAUAUUUUAUCAAAUUUAAAACAAGUUGGUACUGGUUUAGUUGUCAUCCACCUACGAAGUAAUCUUCUACCAUUAAGAUUUAGUUGAAGUCCGUUACUUUUAUAUCUUUUAUUUUAACUCUUCAAUGCCCAUUGUAAUAAAUAUAUAACAUGUUAAAACAUACUAUGUUUCCCCAAUACAUAUGAAUUACAAAAAAUGCAUUGCGCUGUCUAACGUAUAAUUUAAGUUCUAAUCUAUGUUUUUUAUCGAUACACGCAUGCAAACGUUAUCAAUUUCCAUUUUGUAAUGCAAUCUAAUUUUUUCAAUUAAAGUUUUUAUUUUCUUGUCUUUCAAAAUGUGUUUUGAGUGAAAAAUACUAUUUUAAAUCAUGAGAGAUGAAACUGAAAAUUAUUAUAAGGUAUAUAUGAAUAUUUUUAGUUAUUUAUAACACAAAUAAUUAAUAACUCAAUAGUUUACUUAAGUUUAUUUUAUUUUUGUAAUUUAGUUAUAAAAAUACAAUUUUUUUUUCCCAAAUUCAGCGCACCAAAAUUUGUUGAGGAUAUUUUUUAUGUGAAAAAUUUUAGGCAUUGAAGAGUUAAAAUUAAAAAUAAAGAAUAAAUGUCAAGAGUACUUAAUUAUUCAAUAAUUUAAAUUGAUGUAUUAUAUUACAAAAGUAUGAAAAAUUGGAUUAAAUUAUGUAGGUAUAACAUUAACUUCUAAAAAAAAUUAUUGCCUAAAUCAUCUUGUACAUCAACUAUACACUUAUUGAACAUUCAAAAUCGUAUGAAUGUUCAAAAAAUAGUGCAUUAUUCUGUGUAUUUGAUGGAAAAUAUUGAUAUUUUUUAUGUAUAUUUUUAUUUAAACCUAACUGAACAUACCAGGUUUGGUUCCAUUCAAAAGUUAAACAGUUCGUAACAUUACUAUUAUGUAGGUACCUACUUAUUUAAUAAUAUUAACACAUUUUUAAUAUUUAUCUUCUAGGUUCCUUAUUUAAAUGUUAAAUCAAAAACAAUGUGAUGAAUCAAAUAUUUAAGAUGCUGCCGAAUUGAAUAACUACAAAUUAAAAUUGAAAUUAUUUCAACUUUGAAUUUUUAGAUUUACCUAUGUUAUUUAACCUCUGGACCUUAAAUUGUGUUUUUGGAUACCUAUACUAAAGGUAAAUUAUAUAAUUAUAGUUUGUUGUAUAGCUGUUGUUAUAGUUGUAUAGCAACUACUAUAAAAAUGGAUAGUGAAUAAAAUAUAUAUUAAUAAAUAAAAAAAUCUCGGUUUCUACAUUUUUAAAAUUAUUAUUGUUAAGUACCCCUAGUCCUAAGAUCAAUAAUUAAUGAUCUUUAUUUCAUAAUUUUUUUUCCUUUUUCUUAUAACAAACACCUUAAAUAUAAAUUUUGGUUUUAGUUAAAAUCAUAUUCUAAAAAAUUAAAAAGUAUUUUUAUUUUUUCAUUACUUGUUAGUACAUAUUAUCUUAAUAAAAAAAAUAGUGUCAAUGUUUCAAAAAAAAUUAAAAAUAAGAAAUUAAUGUGAUUUAAAAACAUAAUGUAUAUUUUGUAUUAUCUGCUAAGAAAUGCAUGCACUAAAUGAUUGGAAUAUAUAUAUAUAUAUACAAAUACACUAAACAAUUUUGUCAUAAAUAUAAAUUUAAAGAAGUAAAAAAAGAUGGACAAUUUAAAUAUUAACUACUUAUAUUUACCUAAAUAAUAACAGUUACAAAUUAAGGAUUUUAACAGAUAAAAAUUAAUCCCUGAAUUAUUUUUUUUUUAUUUUUUUAAAAGUUAUGUUGUACAUUUAUUAAAGAAAGCCAUCAAGAGAUAUUUUGUAAGAUGUAUUAUUGAUUCUUGUCAUGUCAAUAAUUUUCCAAAAUUAAGGGUAGUCUUUUAUAAUUUGUGUUUCUAGAUAAAUUGUUAUAUAUUUAUUAUAAAGUAUGAUUUCUUUUUAAUUUAUUUUGGACUUGUACUGGUUAUAUGUAACUUAUAUAGUUAUAACGUUCACUAUUUUCAUUAAAAUUUGAUUUGAAUAAUUAUUAUAAAAAAAAAAAAAAACAUUAAACUAAUUUUUUUUUACUACUAAGUAUGACUUAUAAUAAACCUAUCAAAUUUUCAAUCAUUUUUGUUAAGUCUAACAGUUUAUGUACUUACCAAAUAAAAAUAUAACUCUAAUUUGUAAUUACAAAUUACUUUUGUAAAAUAUCGUGUUAUUUCUUCUAUUUUCGGGUUUUGCUCAGUUAUUAAUAAAACUACAGAAAAAAAUCAAUAAACAAAUAACUUGCUCAUGAACUAGAACUGGAUUAAAAAUGCAACAGAAAAAGUCUCUUGUCGUUUAUCUAUUGGAACAAUAUUUAUGGUAGAAAACAUAAGCCAUAAAAUUGUAAAGUAAUGAAAUAUUGUUGUACUGUAAUUUAAAAAAACAAAUUGUAAGAAACUUAGAGAGGCACUAAUAUAAUAAAUAAGAAAAAAUGUAUUGAAGAAACUGGUAAUAUGACCUUUACUGGAAUAAAUACACACAAGUGUAAAUAUCAAAGGGGAAAGUAAUUUAACGCCUGUUUUCAUUAACUACUACCUUUAUGCUAAUAAUGAACCCCCAGUCAUAGUAUUUUGGAAUGAUACUGCGGACAAACCAAUAUUAGAAUGGUUAAGAGUCCGGUUAUCUAUAAAAUGCUAAAUUUAACAUACAGUGAAAACACAGACAAUAAGCUAUAGAAAUCAGACAGGACCUUAUUUACAAAGUAUAUAGGCACCGUUGCCAAAAAAGGAAAGAUACUGAAUCCAAAAGAGACUCGACUUAAUUUGCUAAAAAGACCAGGGUAUAAAGCACUAUCACAACCAGGAUAUAGUACUAACAAAAUGUGUAUUUAAUUAUAUGAUAUGGACUUCCCAACCUAACUAUAGACUUAACUAACUAUAAAGACUAUAUAGACUAAAUAAAUUGACAAUUUAUAACAAUAAGUUAUAAUUGAGAUGUAUAUAUAUAAAAAAAAGAAAAACUGUGAUAUUAUUUAAGUACCUAUAAUUAAAAUAAGAAUGUUUCAGAUAAUGAAUAAGAUGAUUUAUUGAAAUACAUAAAUUAAGAUGCUGGAAGGUAGCAAGUUAGAGAACGUGUUGGUGCACCUAAUAGGAGAAAUAUGGUUGUCACAGCACGGUAUUUUGGAAACAAACAGAAGAAGAAAUGUCGAACCACUGUUUUCCCUAUCAUUUGAUAAUGGCUAACAGUAACUUAGAGCAGCCACCGGUUAUGUCCUAGCUGCCACUUAUAGAUGCUAGUAUAGGGUAACAUAAGCUACUUGACAACUUUCCUCUGCUAUGGCAUAGCAGACUAUAUAAGGGAGAAGCUAAGGGAAGGAUAUUUUCGUAACAUAGAAAUAUAGUUUUAUUUUUUUGUGGAUAAAUAAAUUAAAAGGGAAAAAUAUAUAUAAUGAUUAAAUAUAGUAUAAAGUAAAAAAAAAUUUACAUGGUGAUAAGAAUCAAAAAUAUAAAAAAAGAAAUAAUAUGUUUUAGCUGUUGGACCAUAAGGAGCCUGGAAUUUUUUAGGAAAUUUGUAGUUAUACUACGAAAAUAGGACACAAUACAACAUUAUUGAGAGGGGAGAUAGAAAUAGACUGUUUCAAGACACAUUUUGUAUAUGCAAAUACAUGAUUGGAGAAACCGUACAAUAUACCAAGUUUACUAUACUUAUUAUAGAAAAUUUUGACUUGUUACUCAAUGAUACCAUAUUUAAAGGUCUCAAACUUAUUAGACAUAAUACUAAACUAUACACAAGAACGUGUAAAUGAACUAUAAAAACAUUUUUAAUAAUAAAAUAAUAAAAAAUAAAAAAAAAGUAUAAGGUAAAAUUUGGACAUAAUUAGUUUAUAAAUAUAUAUUGGAAGUGGGAAUUAACUAAAUUAGAAUAUAAUAAUUAGCAGAAGACAAGUAAUAAGGAAUGAUAUGUUUUAGAGAGUACAAUGCCAAGAGGGAUUGCAAAUUUUUAUCGAAACUAAUAGAAUUACUAAGAAAAAGAAGACAUAGAGUUACAAUUUUUGCAUACGACAUUAAAUUCAGGUGUUUGAGUAGACACAUGAUAGAAAUAAAUCUAGAUAUAGAUAACACAUAUCCUGGACGAGAGUUACAGUUAAUGUAUAAGAAUAUGAUUGACUUUUUAAGAGAGUUUUGAAACACCUUGUACGAGGAUAAGAAAAUUGCUUCAGGGGUUUUUUGUGAUACAUGAGGAUUUCACAUAGCAUGUAGCACGCAAAUAAUAAUACAAAAUAUAAUAUAGUGGGAUUAUUUUAAUAAGCUGUGGGAAGUUAAUUUUAGAGUUUAAUAUUGAGCAAUAUUUUCAUUUAUUACUUGUAAAAAAAAGAGGUAUGAUAGAAAAUUGAAUAACAAAUUUCAAUGUAUCAAUAUAUAAAAUUAUCUUGUAUACUAUCAAUAAUUUAGAAUUAGGAAAGAAAAGAAAAAUGUACUAACGACUUUUAUAAGUGAUAAUUUAAUACAUUUUGUAAUUCUAUGUAAGCAUGUAAAAGGUGCAGGACGAUAAUAAAAAGAUUUUUGUCUUUUGAAAGGCAUAAACCUUUUUUUUUUAUUGGGAAAAUGUUACGGGGUGUCUGCUUAUUCCCUUUUAAAUAUUAUAGUAUUAUAUUAUACAGCGAAGCAAUCGAGUAUUAUAUAAGUAUAGGCCACAACUUUAUUUAUGAAGUCAAAUUAAAUGGGCGAUAGUUGUUCGUUAUCAAAGCCACAUUCUCCGGAUAGGGACAGGUCGUUGAAAUUCACCUCAGCUGCUGCUAAUCUUGGGUGCACCGAAUGAACCAGGCAACUAUCUACUAAGACUGGCGCAUAUGAACAACUGUGAAUAAACUUAGCGCAUAUUCUCACCCAACCCAGAUGCAGAGGCACCUGAGGUUAUUACUCGACUGAGUAAUAACAUGUUGUUGUACAAAAGUGCAGACUAAGUAUCUUUAGCUGGAGGGCCCAGAGUGUAUAUAUUGGCUACCGAUUUUGAGAUGAGGCUGAGCACUCAAUGGCAAGCACCUUCACGCCAGAUAGAAUUGCAAAUUUAAUUAAAAAGUGUUAGAAUAUAUUUCAACUUAUAUAUAAAUACUUAUAAAAUAUUGUGUUCACUCAUUUAACUUAUACCUGACUGAGUUUGAUAAUAUACCCACAACAAAAAAAAAGAAAACCUUCCAAACAAAAUGGAACAAUCCUGGUACAAUUCAACCUUUAUUAAAUUGUACCAACAUUGUUAUAGACUAAUACUUAUGACACUUGAUCUAUGGUAAAUUAGGUAAGCAAUAUCCUUCCAUUGGAAAAAUAUUUGAUAAUCCACACCACUACAAACAAAUAUAUAGGACUGUAGUCCACUGAAAACUUAAAAUUGUUAAAUGCUUAGGAUUCUAUCAACAGAUAUAAGGGUAAACAUAACAAGUGCUACAGUACCUACUUGGUCCUAUUCUAUUUAUUGAUGUGUUAUUGAAGUUUAUUGCAAUAAGUCUCAAUACUGCGCCAUGGAGGGGUAUACAGCACCUAAUUAUUGUAUGGUUAUGUUAUUGUGUACCUAAUAUACCUAUAUUUUUCGUGAAAUAUUAUUAUUAGAUGAAAUAAAUAUGAAUAAAUAAAAAUUUUUUUAGUCAUUCACUACUUAUAGUAAUUUUCAUUUGUUGUAAGUUUUCAAAAACAAAUCUUUAAUAUAGAGUAGGUAAUACCACUAGUAAUACAUUUUAGCAGUUAAGUACCUACCAAUUACAAGUAAGUAAUAUAUAUUAUAAUAUAAUAUAAUAUUAUUAGGUAUAUAACUACUAUAGAGUUAAUACUGUACCUAACUCACAAAAC
rnacentral:lncRNA from 1 species